AUUCUUGCCGAAUUGCUUAUUUUCUCACUAUUGUUAUGGAUCCCCACCAAACCAAACUCCCCCCAAGUUAGUCUUCCAAUCCAACUUCCCUUCCCUGCCCUGCCUACCUAACGCCUCCUCCAUCCCCAUUUCCGGUAGGUAGCUGCAUCAGAGCUUAAAUUGAAAGAACAUAAAGAAAGAAAGAGGGAUUACUUCUCAUCCUUGUCCCCUCUAUUCUGCGGCAAAAAGAGAAAUGGCUCAAGCAAUCCAAGCUCCUCAAUUCACUACACCUAAAGUCUCGAAACUCCAAAACCAGUAUUCUUCACCACAUUCUUUAAUACUUGGGUCAAGAAUUGCGAAAAGUUCACCAAAAUAUUCACGGGUUUUGAGUAGAGAUUCGAUGUUGACUAGAGGUAGGUCUCCUUUGAAGGUUUUUGUUUCAGUGGCCGCGGCUGAGAAGCCGUCUACUGUGCCGGAGAUUGUGCUUCAGCCUAUUAAAGAGAUAUCUGGCACCGUCAAGCUGCCUGGCUCAAAAUCCCUCUCCAAUCGCAUUCUUCUCCUUGCUGCCCUGGCUGAGGGAAGAACUGUUGUUGAUAACUUGUUGGACAGUGAUGAUAUCCAUUACAUGCUCGGUGCUUUAAAGACACUGGGUCUGCAUGUGGAAGAUAAUCGCGCUGUACAGCAAGCAAUUGUAGAAGGUUGUGGUGGUCUAUUUCCUGUUGGUAAAGAAUCUAAAGGUGAAAUUCAACUAUUCCUGGGAAAUGCUGGAACAGCUAUGCGCCCAUUGACUGCUGCAGUUGCUGCUGCUGGUGGGAAUUCAAGCUAUGUACUUGAUGGAGUUCCUAGAAUGAGGGAGAGGCCAAUUGGUGAUCUGGUCUCUGGUCUUAAGCAGCUUGGUUCUGAUGUUGAUUGUUUUCUUGGUACAAAUUGCCCCCCAGUUCGUGUAGUGGGAAAGGGAGGCCUUCCUGGGGAAAGGUGAGUGAAGCUCUCUGGAUCUAUCAGUAGUCAAUACCUAACUGCUUUACUCAUGGCAGCUCCACUGGCUCUAGGAGAUGUUGAGAUUGAAAUUAUUGAUAAACUCAUUUCUGUUCCUUAUGUUGAAAUGACUUUGAAACUGAUGGAACGGUUUGGGGUCACUGUAGAGCAUAGUGGUAGUUGGGACAGAUUCCUGGUUCAUGGGGGUCAGAAAUACAAGUCUCCUGGAAAAGCUUAUGUUGAAGGUGAUGCCUCAAGUGCCAGUUACUUCUUAGCUGGUGCAGCUGUUACUGGUGGUACCAUUACCGUCGAAGGUUGUGGGACUGGCAGUUUACAGGGUGACGUGAAAUUUGCUGAGGUUCUUGAGCAAAUGGGUGCUGAAGUCACCUGGACAGAAAACAGUGUUAUUGUUAAAGGACCGCGGAGGGAUUCUUCCAGAGGAAAACACCUUCGUGCCAUUGAUAUCAACAUGAACAAAAUGCCAGAUGUUGCCAUGACUCUUGCUGUAGUUGCACUUUUCGCGGAUGGUUCCACUGCAAUAAGAGAUGUGGCUAGCUGGAGAGUGAAGGAAACUGAGCGGAUGAUUGCUAUAUGCACAGAGCUUAGAAAGUUAGGGGCUACAGUUGAAGAAGGGCAGAUUACUGCAUAAUCACUCCACCAGAGAAGUUAAAUGUUACAUCAAUUGAUACUUAUGAUGAUCACAGAAUGGCUAUGGCUUUUUCUCUUGCGGCAUGUGCAGAUGUUCCUGUAACCAUCAAGGAUCCUGGCUGCACACGCAAAACCUUCCCUGAUUACUUUGAUGUCCUUGAAAAGUUCUCAAAGCACUGAAUAAACUUUUUGAAACGAUAUGUAGCAUCACAUAAAGAAUGUGAACAAUUUUAGAGGGCUGCUACAAGAAUGGAGUUUCCAGUCUCUUUGUGCAGGAGAUGUUGGAUGCUUGCUGCCCCUUAUCUUAGUGAGAGUGUUCAACAUGGGUCAGGAAGUCAAGUUGUUUUGCUGAAGCCAUGGAUAGAUUAAAAUCUGUGUACUGGUUUAACUCAAAUUCUUGGUAAACGCGUGUGUAUCUCUAGCAACUUAUUACAUGGAAAGAUCCCUUUUUGUUGGCUCUGCAUUUGAAUGAAAGUCAUUAAAAUUGAUAGUUUCA